rnacentral:lncRNA from 1 species
UCCUGGCUCUGCAGGAGGCUGCUGAGGCCUACUUGGUGGGUCUAUUUGAGGACACUAACCUUUGUGCCAUUCACGCCAAGCGUGUGACAAUUAUGCCCAAGGACAUUCAACUUGCCAGACGAAUUAGGGGCGAGCGUGCUUAAUAUGAUCAACUCUAGCUAGUAGCAUUGUUUGUCCUUUCUUGCUCUUCUUUGUUAGACAUAAAGGCAGUAACUAAAUCUAGUAGUAGGGCUUGUUGCUUUGAAUUUGUUGGUGGCUGGUGGUGUGCUGUAAUUUGUUGGUGUUUUUUUGGAGAAGGGGAAAAACAUGAUAUUUUGUUUGGAUCUCUAAUGUUUUGUUGUCACACCACUGGUGUCGAACAAUGUUCAGUGUUUUCUUCUAAUGGUUAGUUCAAGUUGUUGUGGAUAAAUGAUUAUACUGUGCUCUUCGUAAACAUAGGAUGCAUUUGUACCAUUUAAAUGGAUGCUUGGAUUUGGGUAGUGAAAGCGUGGACUAGGUUUUCUGAUGCAUCUGUUGUAGUCACUAUUCUGAGAUUAUGAGAUACUUGCAUCUGAUCCACUUGUAGGAUUACACUACACAAGAUAUGUUAUUUUUAUUGUUGUUAUUUUUUAUUUUUAACAUUAGUAUGCCUUUAUAAUCAUAUAAUCGUUAUCAUAUAAUCAUGAUGGAUAAGGAGUUUGGGCUCAAGGAUGGCAUUGGUCCGUCUGAAGAUGCAAGAAUAGAGCCAACUAGGAAAAGCAAAAGAACUAAAAGACUACCACAAAGGCUUUCGGGCUUUAAAUGAGAUCCGGGUUAACGAAGUGAAAUGAGAAUAUUAGCGAGGGUACACGAAUGGUUAAAUGGCCAAAUAGUAGAACUAAUGUGGGAGGCUGAAUAUUGUUAAAAGCUUCCCCUCUCGUGUCUCGCUCUCCCACGCUAUUUCUCUCUGUGGCUAUGUCUUUUCAUCCCUUUCUUUUUUGUUACUAUCCUUAGUUAUUGUUACUUUUGAGUGUAAUUCCUUUGUUAUUGUAUCAAUAUAUUAAUGUCCCCAUCCCCUUUCUUUCUUUUUGUAAUCUUCACUUUCCUCUAUCCCCGUUCUCACUAUCUUAUCUUGUACUGAGUUCUGUAAUGUAUUAGUAAUCAAAUCACUUUUCUUAGACUAUUGUUGUUGGGGGUUCAUAACAUUGGUGCUUUCAUUAAGAGUA